UUUGACGUGCUUCUGUUUACAGAAUUGUUUGCUACGUUAACUUUUGUUCAAGUAAUGACACAGUUAACCAUUAUCAACACCGAUAUAGCACCGAUAUUUUAGCUUAAAGAGUUUUUCAUGUUUUAGUUUAAUAAGAAGAGUUGUUAAGCUUUACUUAAGUCACUAUUCUUUUUAGUUUAGUUAAUUGUGGGAGACGGAGCAUAACAAACGUACAUUGAAACAUAAAAAAUUUAUUGGCAUUAUUGUCAUUAUUAAUUAAUGGCAAAUAAGCAUAAAAGCAUAUAAUUGUUACAUUUUAUGGGCCAGAUCUUUAGAUAAUGAUGCGCUUACAGAAUAGCGUAGUAUAGCGCGUGCAUUAUAUGUACGGCAUCUGAGAACGAUAUUGCGAUUACAGCUAAGAAGCGCAAGUGUAACUGGCAAAAUGAAGGCCAAAAAAGGAAGGCGCUGUUGGACACAGGCGAUUUGCUACAGAGGCAAAUCGAUCGUCUCUUUCAAGAGACGGUCCAACAAAUAUUAAGGAAGGAAAAUCAAUUAUCAAGGGGGGAAAAAUGGCGGUUUUCUUUUUCGCGAGAUCGCAAGUGAU